AAAUAAUAACACACAAUGUCACGAUAAAUUUCCAUCUGUGUAAAGGAUGUACUUAAGAUUCAUCAUUUUUUUGCUAUAAAACAGAAUUUGGAAAUUCUUGUUCUACAUAAUUUGCAAUAUGACAAUUGGCUGCAACAUUGUUGUGAUACACCUUCACAAGAUGAAAGAACACGUUUAUACAUAGUUAUAUUACACGAUGGUUGAAUUUAAUGUCAGAUAUAUUGUGUAAAACAAUCGGUAACGAAGCGAGGUGAAAACUCGGGAUACUGACAAUAAGAGACACCGUGCAUUCGUACUGAC